rnacentral:rRNA from 1 species
UACGGGGGGGGCAAGCGUUGUUCGGCAUUACUGGGCGUAAAGGGCUCGUAGGCGGCCAGCUAAGUCGGACGUGAAAUCCCUCGGCUCAACCGGGGAACUGCGUCCGAUACUGACUGGCUUGAAUCCGGGAGAGGGAUGCGGAAUUCCAGGUGUAGCGGUGAAAUGCGUAGAUAUCUGGAGGAACACAGGUGGCGAAGGCGGCAUCCUGGACCGGCAUUGACGCUGAGGAGCGAAAGCCAGGGGAGCAAACGGG